rnacentral:rRNA from 1 species
GAUGAACGCUGGCGGCGUGCUUAACACAUGCAAGUCGAACGGAAAGGCCCAAGCUUGCUUGGGUACUCGAGUGGCGAACGGGUGAGUAACACGUGGGUGAUCUGCCCUGCACUUCGGGAUAAGCCUGGGAAACUGGGUCUAAUACCGGAUAGGACGAUGGUUUGGAUGCCAUUGUGGAAAGUUUUUUCGGUGUGGGAUGAGCUCGCGGCCUAUCAGCUUUUUGGUGGGGUAAUGGCCUACCAAGGCGUCGACGGGUAGCCGGCCUGAGAGGGUGUACGGCCACAUUGGGACUGAGAUACGGGCCAGACUCCGACGGGAGGCAGAAGUGGGGAAUAUUGCACGAUGGGCGCAAGCCUGAUGCAGCGACGCCGCGUGGGGGAUGACGGCCUUCGGGUGGUAAACUCCUUUGGCUAGGGACGAAGCGUUUUUGUGACGGUACCUGGAGAAGAAGCACCGGCUAACUACGUG